GCAGUCGACGAGCUUCCGUUGAUGACGUGCUUGCACUGAUUUCAACAAUGAAGCGAGUGGCGAACUGGUGAGUAACACGUGGGGAAUCUGCCCAGAAGCAGGGGAUAACACUUGGAAACAGGUGCUAAUACCGUAUAACAACAAAAUCCGCAUGGAUUUUGUUUGAAAGGUGGCUUCGGCUAUCACUUCUGGAUGAUCCCGCGGCGUAUUAGUUAGUUGGUGAGGUAAAGGCCCACCAAGACGAUGAUACGUAGCCGACCUGAGAGGGUAAUCGGCCACAUUGGGACUGAGACACGGCCCAAACUCCUACGGGAGGCAGCAGUAGGGAAUCUUCCACAAUGGACGAAAGUCUGAUGGAGCAAUGCCGCGUGAGUGAAGAAGGGUUUCGGCUCGUAAAACUCUGUUGUUAAAGAAGAACACCUUUGAGAGUAACUGUUCAAGGGUUGACGGUAUUUAACCAGAAAGCCACGGCUAACUACGUGCCAGCAGCCGCGGUAAUACGUAGGUGGCAAGCGUUGUCCGGAUUUAUUGGGCGUAAAGCGAGCGCAGGCGGUUUUUUAAGUCUGAUGUGAAAGCCUUCGGCUUAACCGGAGAAGUGCAUCGGAAACUGGGAGACUUGAGUGCAGAAGAGGACAGUGGAACUCCAUGUGUAGCGGUGGAAUGCGUAGAUAUAUGGAAGAACACCAGUGGCGAAAGGCGGCUGUCUAGUCUGUAACUGACGCUGAGGCUCGAAAGCAUGGGUAGCGAACAGGAUUAGAUACCCUGGUAGUCCAUGCCGUAACGAUGAGUGCUAAGUGUUGGAGGGUUUCCGCCCUUCAGUGCUGCAGCUAACGCAUUAAGCACUCCGCCUGGGGAGUACGA
rnacentral:rRNA from 2 species